rnacentral:tRNA from 1 species
GCGGUCAUGGUGUAAUGGUUAACACAGGAGAUUGUGGCUCUCCUGAUCCGGGUUCGAUUCCCGGUGAUCGCC